CGUUGAAACACCAGUUCUUGUACGAUCACAGAAGUUAAACAACGUCGAACCUGGUUAGUACUUAGAUGGGUGACCGCUUGGGAAUACCAGCUGCUGUAAG
rnacentral:rRNA from 1 species